rnacentral:rRNA from 1 species
AUUGAAUGCUGGCGGCAUGCCUUACACAUGCAAGUCGAACGGCAGCACGGGUGCUUGCACCUGGUGGCGAGUGGCGAACGGGUGAGUAAUAUAUCGGAACGUACCUUAUUGUGGGGGAUAACGCAGCGAAAGCUGUGCUAAUACCGCAUAAUCCCUAAGGGGGAAAGCGGGGGACCGUAAGGCCUCGCGCAAUUAGAGCGGCCGAUACCUGAUUAGCUAGUUGGUGAGGUAAAGGCUCACCAAGGCAACGAUCAGUAGCUGGUCUGAGAGGACGAUAAGCCACACUGGGACUGAGACACGGCCCAGACUCCUACGGGAGGCAGCAGUGGGGAAUUUUGGACAAUGGGGGCAACCCUGAUCCAGCAAUGCCGCGUGAGUGAAGAAGGCCUUCGGGUUGUAAAGCUCUUUUGUCAGGGAAGAAACAGCAGCUCUAACACAGUAUGCGAAUGACGGUACCUGAAGAAUAAGCACCGGCUAACUACGUGCCAGCAGCCGCCAUAA